rnacentral:rRNA from 1 species
UACGUAGGGUGCAAGCGUUGUCCGGAAUUAUUGGGCGUAAAGAGCUCGUAGGUGGCCUGUCGCGUCGGCUGUGAAAACUCGGGGCUCAACUCCGAGCUUGCAGUCGAUACGGGCAGGCUAGAGUUCGGCAGGGGAGACUGGAAUUCCUGGUGUAGCGGUGAAAUGCGCAGAUAUCAGGAGGAACACCGGUGGCGAAGGCGGGUCUCUGGGCCGAGACUGACGCUGAGGAGCGAAAGCGUGGGGAGCGAACAGG